rnacentral:rRNA from 1 species
GAUUCUGGCUCAGGAUGAACGCUAGCUACAGGCUUAACACAUGCAAGUCGCGGGGCAUCAGGGAUAUAGCUUGCUAUAUUGCUGGCGACCGGCGCACGGGUGAGUAACGCGUAUCCAACCUUCCCUUUAGUAGGGGAUAGCCCGGCGAAAGUCGGAUUAAUACCCUAUGUUCUUCUUUGAUGGCAUCUGACGAGAAGCAAAGGUUCGCCGCUAUAGGAUGGGGAUGCGUCUGAUUAGCUUGAUGGCGGGGUAACGGCCCACCAUGGCGACGAUCAGUAGGGGUUCUGAGAGAAAGGUCCCCCACAUUGGUACUGAGACACGGACCAAACUCCUACGGGAGGCAGCAGUGAGGAAUAUUGGUCAAUGGGCGAGAGCCUGAACCAGCCAAGUAGCGUUGCAGGAUGACUGCCCUAUGGGUUGUAAACUGCUUUUAUAGGGGAAUAAAGUGCGGUACGCGUACCGUUUUGUAUGUACCCUAUGAAUAAGGACCGGCUAAUUCCGUGCCAGCAGCGGC